rnacentral:lncRNA from 1 species
GUAUGUACCUCCCGGCAGUAACCAGUCUUGAGUCGAACCCUGACGUGGGAGCUCUGUGUUGGUUAACUCAGAAUCAUCCUCACUCCGUCGGUGGUUCGGUUUUCAUGCCCCUACAGGGGGGGUGGGGGAGGGGUGUGCAGGGUCAGGCACAGGUGGGAGCUGUGGCACAGCAUUCCGCCCAGGCCCUGCGCCCCCACCUGUGUAGCAUUCCCCGAACUUGUCUGACGGAGGAAGCCCUUUACGCAGCACACAGCAUCUUACAGGAACUCGCGUUUUCAGGAAGAUGGUUUCAGCAGCGCUGCAGUGACUGAUGCGAGCCCAGCAGAGAGCAUUGGUUUAUCAGACUUGCUGUGAAUGGAGCGGUGAGCAUACAUUGAGAGGAGGGGAAAAUGUGAUCUAAAACACAAGGCAGUAGAUUUCAAAGGAUAGUCUGCAGCCUUGUCACUCGGAGUGUGGUCCCCAGACCAGCAGCAUCGACACCCCUAAGGAGCUUGUUAAAAAUGCAGAGCCUCAGAGCACACCCCACGCCUACCUUACGUGCGGGCACCUGCAUCUUGACCGACUCCCCCUUCGCUCCACCUCUGUCCUCGGGGCAUCUGCUUCAGAAUCCUAGGGAGGCUCCUGAACGAUGCAGAGUCCUGGGUUCUGCCUGAGGCCUGCUGACGUGGAGCUUGGAGAAUGGGGCCUGGGACCUGGCCUUGUAACAAUGUCUUGGGGUGACGUUCACGCACACUAGCGUUUGAGAACCACUGGCCUGUCCCACAGGCAACAAGCAGCUCCUGGGAGCCUCCUAAAAAUGCUACUUCCUGGGCCGCCCCUGGAUCUACUGAGUCUGGGCGUCUAGGGGCCGAGCCUGGGAAUCAGCACGAGGAUGAUGGUGAAACGGACACAGCUGCCCUGAGGCGGGACUCCAGCCAGCUCUGCUCUGCCCAGCAUCCUGGGGCUAUGCCCACUGGGAGGAGGAGCUGUGAUCUCCGCCCCUGGAUCAAGAGCCCUAGAGAAAAGUGUGCUUUUGUUUCUAGGAGAGAUUAAGAAAAUGCAUUUGGGAGGGUAGCCUAUGAGUGGCUGUUUGCUCUCGACACCUGUAAACUGUUGACUGUAAUUGGACCACAGAUGUUCCCUGAGCCUGAUAGCUUUCUCUCCUCCGGCCGUGGAGGGGAGUCUGGGGAGGGGUUCUUCUCUAGAAGGAAAUCGAAUGAUUGUAUUGGGGCUGCAUUUCCUUGCCUUCCUCUGAUUUAAUCUGUUUUUCUACAUUUAUCAUUAUUAUUUUCGACACUUCAGUGUUAGACAAAAAGCUGUUUUGUAAAAAACCAGGGGGAUGUUAGCAAAAGGUGUGUUCAUAGAAUCAAACAGAAUCUUUGUGGGCAAAUGAAGGUAUUCAAAGUCCUGCAGAAAUGCAUGAAAUCCUCUUGAGCCCCCCAGCUCAAGGAGACCUCCCAGCGUGGAACAGAGAAGAGCAAUCUCACAGGAGAAAGCAGGAGAGAGGCGCUGUGUGGAAGGUCUGCGAGUCAUCAUCUCCCAUAAUCCUCACACACAAAAGAGGUGAUGUCCGCACGUUCCACAGACAGAAAACGGACCUGGAGAUGUGGAACAGCCUGCCCGGGGCAUGAGCUGGAAGGGGGGCUGCAGUGGUGGAAGUGGGGAGAUGUGUCACAGGAUGCCAGUAACAGAGCCUCAUUCACGACCUUGCGUGGUGUCCGACUUGUCAUUUGCUGGUUUUUAGAAGCAGCUUGACAAGAGGAGAAAAGGAGGUCAGGCAUCUCUCAAGUCCAUCCCCUCCCCUCCAGCUACCCAUCGGAGCCCCGUCAUCUCUCACCUGGAUCCCUGCGCAGCCUCACUCCUCUCCCUGCAAACCUGGCCCCACGGGGACCACUGAAACUUGCAUCAGAGAACAUCACGUGAUGCCCUGCUUCAAGCCCUCAGGCUGGACCCUCUCGGAACCUCGAUGCUCUCUCUAUGGCCCACAGGUCCUGUGCCAUCUGGCCCCUCCGCCCCCUCCCCCUCGCUCUGCCCUUGCUAUCUGGAGCAUUCUGCCCCAGGUCUAGGCAAGGCCGACUGCUGCUCAGAGAUGCCCUGCAGGGCCCCCAGCAAGGCUGCUCGCCCACCUCUCCUCAGCCAGGACCUUUCACACCUAUCACAUCCCUCUGGUUCUGUCUGUCUGAUGUCUGCAGUACAACAGGGGCCUCUCUGCCCGGCCCCCUGCCCUCUCCCCAGCUCCCGGAUGGUGCCGGCCCAGGCUCAGCAAACAUCUGAAUAAAUGAAUGUCUGAGUGGAUGACUGGGAAAGCUGGGAGAGAAGGUGCAGUCUCCUGGGACUUAACCUUGGGGGAGUGGGGAGGGGUCGGUGAUGCCACGCUGCCUGAACUCCUGCCCCACGCCUGGGAAGAAGGAAUACCGGUGGUUUUUCUUCUUUCUUCUGUGAACUCUGGGGCAGAAUGAGAGCCAGGGCCGGGGGGAGGGUGGUUCAGCUGAAUGUGGCAACGACAAGGGGUUAGGAAGACAUCAGGGGGGAGUGGAAGGAGGAUGAUAAAAUGCAUGUUGGGGAAGAGGAACCGAUUAAACAGUCAACUAGAUAAUAUUAGAUUUAGAGGGAGGGAGAAAAUGGAGAUGUUGGAAAUAUGAGUAGACUGAGUGGCAAUAAAACAGGAGAGAGACCAAGAAAAUGGGGAAAAAGUAGAAAUGGACUUUCUGAGUUAAAGCAUCCGCCUGGGACUGGAGACUGCGCAGCCAGGACGCCCCUUUGGCUCAGCCGCUCAGGCAUCCCGGAGGAAUCGGGUUUCACCCGUAGGCUCACUGGUUGGAUGCUUUCAAAUUCCAUUUAACCCGGUUUGAUCAUCGAAUUUUGGGGGAUUGCUGCCGGUCACCUCCAGAGCACAAGCCCCUGCCGGCUGGACUCCUUGGGGGUGGGGCAGGGUUCCCCGCCCAGCCCCAGUCUGCUCAAGUGCAGCCAAGACAAGUGUCCUGUCCUCAAGAAGCAAGCCCUCCGUUCACCUUCACGAGCUGGGGCCCCACUUUGCUUUCUGGGUCUGUGGUUGAAGCUUCACGGAGAAGAAGCUGCAGAGGCAGACGGACGAAGCCGCCUGCUCAAGGACACGACCCCCCUGGGAGCCGCUUCUUUGGGAGAAGGCAGGGCCCUCACACUUCAGUUGAGCAACAGGGUCACCUGACAAGCAUUUUAAAAACAUGAGUGCUUGGACCUCAGACCAGCCCCGUAGGGUCACGUCCAGCAACUCUGUUCUUGACGUUCCCCAGAUGAAGUUAAAUGCACACCGGUGGUUGGGCAUUAAACCCCUUCUGAGUGUUUCUAUCUCAAUGCCUUAGUGUGACUUAAUUUUUGAUCUUUUUCUAGUAAAGGGGCUUCCAUGGGUUGGGAAAGUGAACACUUGAUUGAUGGAAGGAAAGGUGGCAGGGGCUCCAGAGGUGACUGAUU